rnacentral:rRNA from 1 species
GUUGUAUGGUUAAGUGAUUAAGCGUAGACGGUGGAUGCCUUGGCAGUCAGAGGCGAUGAAGGACGUACUAANUCCGAAUGGGGAAACCCACCUGCAUAAGCAGGUAUCUUAGYGUGAAUACAUAGCGCUAAGAGGCGAACUCGGGGAACUGAAACAUCUAAGUACCCGAAGGAAAAGAAAUCAAUUGAGAUUCCGGCAGUAGCGGCGAGCGAACCCGGAGCAGCCCUUAAGCGGCUUAGGCGUUAGGUGAACAGGUUGGAAAACCUGGCAAUAAAGGGUGAUAGCCCCGUAACCGACGGCGCCUUAGACGUGAAAACGAGUAGGACGGGACACGUGAUAUCUUGUCUGAACAUGGGGGGACCAUCCUCCAAGGCUAAAUACUCCUGACUGACCGAUAGUGAACCAGUACCGUGAGGGAAAGGCGAAAAGAACCCCUGUGAGGGGAGUGAAAUAGAACCUGAAACCGUCUACGUACAAGCAGUGGGAGCC